CCGUCCUGAACGCGCCCGAUCUCAUCUGAUCUUUGAAGCUAAGUAGGGUCGGGCCUGGUUAGAACUUGGAUGGGAGACAGCCUGGGAAUACCCCAUGC
ensembl:rRNA n-R5s213 nuclear encoded rRNA 5S 213